GGGGCUGUAGCUCACCUGGUAGAGCGCUUGAAUGGCAUUCAAGAGGUAGUCGGUUCGAGUCCGAUCAGCUCCA
rnacentral:tRNA from 1 species